rnacentral:tRNA from 1 species
GCCGGAAUAGCUCAGCUGGUAGAGCAGAGGACUGAAAAUCCUCGUGUCACCAGUCA